rnacentral:rRNA from 1 species
GAUGAACGCUGGCGGCGUGCCUAAUACAUGCCAGUCGAACGCUGAAGGAGGAGCUUGCUCUUCUGGAUGAGUUGCGAACGGGUGAGUAACGCGUAGGUAACCUGCCUGGUAGCGGGGGAUAACUAUUGGAAACGAUAGCUAAUACCGCAUGACAACAGUUAUUGCAUGAUAACUGUUUAAAAGGGGCAACUGCUCCACUACCAGAUGGACCUGCGUUGUAUUAGCUAGUUGGUGAGGUAACGGCUCACCAAGGCGACGAUACAUAGCCGACCUGAGAGGGUGAUCGGCCACACUGGGACUGAGACACGGCCCAGACUCCUACGGGAGGCAGCAGUAGGGAAUCUUCGGCAAUGGACGGAAGUCUGACCGAGCAACGCCGCGUGAGUGAAGAAGGUUUUCGGAUCGUAAAGCUCUGUUGUAAGAGAAGAACGAGUGUGAGAGUGGAAAGUUCACACUGUGACGGUAGCUUACCAGAAAGGGACGGCUAACUACGUG